CCGACGGCCCCCCUGAACGCUGUCUGAAGUUGCAGUCUGAGACCUAUAACGAAAUUAGUUA
rnacentral:rRNA from 1 species